rnacentral:rRNA from 1 species
UUCCGGUUGAUCCUGCCGGAGGCCAUUGCUAUCGGAGUCCGAUUUAGCCAUGCUAGUUGUGCGGGUUUAGACCCGCAGCGGAAAGCUCAGUAACACGUGGCCAAGCUACCCUGUGGACGGGAAUACUCUCGGGAAACUGAGGCUAAUCCCCGAUAACGCUUUGCUCCUGGAAGGGGCAAAGCCGGAAACGCUCCGGCGCCACAGGAUGCGGCUGCGGUCGAUUAGGUAGACGGUGGGGUAACGGCCCACCGUGCCCAUAAUCGGUACGGGUUGUGAGAGCAAGAGCCCGGAGACGGAAUCUGAGACAAGAUUCCGGGCCCUACGGGGCGCAGCAGGCGCGAAACCUUUACACUGUACGAAAGUGCGAUAAGGGGACUCCGAGUGUGAAGGCAUAGAGCCUUCACUUUUGUACACCGUAAGGUGGUGCACGAAUAAGGACUGGGCAAGACCGGUGCCAGCCGCCGCGGUAAUACCGGCAGUCCGAGUGAUGGCCGAUCUUAUUGGGCCUAAAGCGUCCGUAGCUGGCUGAACAAGUCCGUUGGGAAAUCUGUCCGCUUAACGGGCAGGCGUCCAGCGGAAACUGUUCAGCUUGGGACCGGAAGACCUGAGGGGUACGUCUGGGGUAGGAGUGAAAUCCUGUAAUCCUGGACGGACCGCCGGUGGCGAAAGCGCCUCAGGAGAACGGAUCCGACAGUGAGGGACGAAAGCUAGGGUCUCGAACCGGAUUAGAUACCCGGGUAGUCCUAGCUGUAAACGAUGUCCGCUAGGUGUGGCGCAGGCUACGAGCCUGCGCUGUGCCGUAGGGAAGCCGAGAAGCGGACCGCCUGGGAAGUACGUCUGCAAGGAUGAAACUUAAAGGAAUUGGCGGGGGAGCACUACAACCGGAGGAGCCUGCGGUUUAAUUGGACUCAACGCCGGACAUCUCACCAGCCCCGACAGUAGUAAUGACGGUCAGGUUGAUGACCUUACCCGAGGCUACUGAGAGGAGGUGCAUGGCCGCCGUCAGCUCGUACCGUGAGGCGUCCUGUUAAGUCAGGCAACGAGCGAGACCCGUAUGCCCCGAAUGGGCUGGGCAACACGCGGGCUACAAUGGUCGAGACAAUGGGAAGCCACUCCGAGAGGAGGCGCUAAUCUCCUAAACUCGAUCGUAGUUCGGAUUGAGGGCUGAAACUCGCCCUCAUGAAGCUGGAUUCGGUAGUAAUCGCGUGUCAGCAGCGCGCGGUGAAUACGUCCCUGCUCCUUGCACACACCGCCCGUCAAAUCACCCGAGUGGGGUUCGGAUGAGGCCGGCAUGCGCUGGUCAAAUCUGGGCUCCGCAAGGGGGAUUAAGUCGUAACAAGGUAGCCGUAGGGGAAUCUGCGGCUGGAUCACCUCCUU